CCUUGGUGCAUCGCAGCUCAUCUGGGGGAGGAGGAGAGAUGGGAAGAGGGUUAGACCCAAAUAGGCGCAGAUGAUUUCUGCAGACAGAGCAGAUGGGCACUGC